AGAAGACCUUUAAAUAUAGGAUGUUUAGAGAGAGAAAAUCAUCUGGGAGUCAUGUCGCCGCUGAAACGGGCUAAAAAAUAUCCCUCAAUAGCAGCAUGUAGAGGUUCGGGCUACCAGUCGAUAGCGGCUGACCUCGAUGGCACUCUUCUCUUGUCCGGCAAUUCCUUCUCCUACUUCAUGCUCGUGGCCAUCGAAGCUGGAAGUCUCUUACGUGGUCUGAUUUUGCUUCUGUCUGUACCUCUCGUGAUCAUAUCCUAUUUAUUCAUAUCUGAGAACAUUGGAGUCCAAAUCCUAAUCUUCAUCUCCUUCUGUGGCCUCAAGAUUCGCGACAUCGAGCUGGCUUCCCGCAAUGUCUUGCCCAGGUUUUAUGCUGCGGAUGUGAGG
rnacentral:misc_RNA from 1 species